GGGGAAGGAAAGAAGGUGCCGCAGCUAAGCCCAGGUCUCUCCUCCGCAGGUUCCAGUUCCUUUCCUGGAGCGUGUGUGGGGGCAACAAGGACCCAUGGGUUCGGGAAUUGAUGAGCUGUCUUGAUCUCAAAGAAUGUGGACAUGCUUACUCGGGGAUUGUGGCCCACCAGAAGCAUUUACUUCCUACCAGCCCCCCAAUUUCUCAGGCCUCAGAGGGGGCAUCUUCAGAUAUCCACACCCCUGCCCAGAUGCUCCUGUCCACCUUGCAGUCCACUCAGCGCCCCACCCUCCCAGUAGGAUCACUGUCCUUGGACAAAGAGCUCACUCGUCCCAAUGAAACCACCAUUCACACUGCGGGCCACAGUCUGGCAGUUGGGCCUGAGGCUGGGGAGAACCAGAAGCAGCUGGAAAAAAAUGCUGGUCCCACAGCCAGGACAUCAGCCACAGUGCCGGUCCUGUGCCUCCUGGCCAUCAUCUUCAUCCUCACCGCAGCCCUUUCCUAUGUGCUGUGCAAGAGGAGGAGGGGGCAGUCACCGCAGUCCUCUCCAGGUUUGCCGGUUCAUUAUAUACCUGUGGCACCUGACUCUAAUACCUGAGCCAAGAAUGGAAGCUUGUGAGG
rnacentral:sRNA from 1 species